rnacentral:rRNA from 1 species
UACGUAGGGUGCAAGCGUUAAUCGGAAUUACUGGGCGUAAAGCGUGCGCAGGCGGUUAUGUAAGACAGUUGUGAAAUCCCCGGGCUCAACCUGGGAACUGCAUCUGUGACUGCAUAGCUAGAGUACGGUAGAGGGGGAUGGAAUUCCGCGUGUAGCAGUGAAAUGCGUAGAUAUGCGGAGGAACACCGAUGGCGAAGGCAAUCCCCUGGACCUGGUACUGACGCUCAUGCACGAAAGC